rnacentral:rRNA from 1 species
AUUGAACGCUGGCGGCAGGCCUAACACAUGCAAGUCGAGCGGAGCGGCGGACGGGCGAGUAAUGCCUAGGAAUCUGCCUGGUCGUGGGGGAUAACGUCCGGCAACGGGCGCUAAUCCCGCAUCCUAUCAGAUGAGCCUAGGUCGGAUUCGCUAGUUGGUGGGGUAAAGGCCUACCAAGGCGACGAUCCGUACCUGGUCUGAGAGGAUGAUCAGUCACACUGGAACUGUGACACGGUCCAGACUCCUACGGGAGGCAGCAGUGGGGAAUAUGGGACAAUGGGCGAAAGCCUGGUCCAGCCAUGCCGGCGGUGUGAAGAAGGUCUUCGGAUUUUAAAGCACUUUAAGUUGGGAGGCGUUACCAACAGAAUAAGCGCCGGCUAACUUCGUGCCAGCAGCCGCGGUAAUAC